GAUGAACGCUGGCGGCGUGCCUAAUACAUGCAAGUCGAGCGAACAGAUGAGGAGCUUGCUCCUCUGACGUUAGCGGCGGACGGGUGAGUAACACGUGGAUAACCUACCUAUAAGACUGGGAUAACUUCGGGAAACCGGAGCUAAUACCGGAUAAUAUAUUGAACCGCAUGGUUCAAUAGUGAAAGACGGUUUUGCUGUCACUUAUAGAUGGAUCCGCGCCGCAUUAGCUAGUUGGUAAGGUAACGGCUUACCAAGGCAACGAGGCGUAGCCGACCUGAGAGGGUGAUCGGCCACACUGGAACUGAGACACGGUCCAGACUCCUACGGGAGGCAGCAGAAGGGAAUCUGCCGCAGUGGGCGAAAGCCUGACGGAGCAACGCCGCGUGAGUGAUGAAGGUCUUCGGAUCGUAAAACUCUGUUAUUAGGGAAGAACAAAUGCGUAAGUAACUAUGCACGUCUUGACGGUACCUAAUCAGAAAGCCACGGCUAACUACGUG
rnacentral:rRNA from 1 species